UACGAAGGGGGCUAGCGUUGCUCGGAAUCACUGGGCGUAAAGGGCGCGUAGGCGGCUGUUCAAGUCGGGGGUGAAAGCCUGUGGCUCAACCACAGAAUGGCCUUCGAUACUGGACGGCUCGAGACCGGAAGAGGUCAGUGGAACUGCGAGUGUAGAGGUGAAAUUCGUAGAUAUUCGCAAGAACACCAGUGGCGAAGGCGGCUGACUGGCCCGGUACUGACGCUGAGGCGCGAAAGCGUGGGGAGCAAACAGG
rnacentral:rRNA from 1 species